rnacentral:lncRNA from 1 species
CUUCGAAAGCCUGUGGGCUCAGGCCUAAGAAACCAACUGACGUUUUUAGAAAGGAAUGCAGCGGACUAAAGAAUGCCAACAUAUCUUCCAGUGGGGGUGGGAGAAGCAGAGAGGCUCCUCAGGUCAGUGCAGGGGCUCACUGUCAGACUUUUCCCAGCCUACCAUAAGGAAGCUGUCCUACCAGAUAUGUGCAGACAAGUUCUUUUACUUCAAAGUUUUUGGAGACAGCACUGAUCCUUGUAGACCAUUUGACUGUUUUGUGAUAGAGAACUCGAGGAAAGACUUCCCAAGGAACUCAAGUAAAGGGUGUUUAUUCUACGUCAAUGCAUGUGAAAACUUCAGCUUCACAGAGGUUGAAGAUGCAGGGUAGGUCCUACAUCAGGAAGGCCCUAGAGACUACAGCAGAAGGAAGUCAAGGAUCUUUGCUUUGGUGUACCACCGCAACCAUCACUCAGUUGUACUCUGAGUUCUGAGUCUUUUUUUUUUUUUAUCUUGCUGGUGUCAUUUCUCUCAAUUUUAGGGCUUUGCAAAAAGAUUCCUUGGGCUCCUGAAGGAGUUAUGGAAUGGCUUGAGGAGAUCCAUUAUUAUCCAAGUAGUGAGUGAAUGAAAAGCAUUCUAAAAUAAAUUAAAAUUAUAUACUUUUUAGAGUAUUCAUUAAUCAGUAAAUUGAAUUUUUAUAUUGGUAGAGCUCUAAAAUAGUUUGUAGGAGAUUGCAAAAGUGGCCACAAUACCUCGAAGCAACUCUCAUCGAAAGACUGAAUUUAUCUCUCCAUUUCUUGAAACUGUAUGGUCUCAUGACUUACUUUGAUAGAGUGUGGUGGAAGUGAUGUCAUGCCAGUUGUAGCUCUAGGCCUCAAAAGGCUUUGAGCCUGCUGUUUUUGCAUUUUUGGAAUCAUGAGAAUGCCAUGUGAAUGAGCCUGGAUAGCUUACUGGAGAACAGGAAACCAUGAGAAAAGGCGCCCCAGUUGCCUCAGUUGUACCAGAUGAAGUCAUUAUUGACCAUUCAGGCUCAUACAUAUUGACAAUUCAGGCUCAUACCUGGCAGAGAACUACAGGCAAAUGAGCAUAUCCAACCAAUAUCAGCCAAGUCCCACUCAGACCAGAACUGCCCAGCUGAGCCAACACAAACUGCUGACUUGUAGAAUAGUGAGUUAAGUGAAUGGUUGUUGGUUAAACCCACUGUUUUUUAAGUUUUAAGUUACGCAGCAAAGAGUAAUAAAUACCUAGUUCUACAAAAACGAUUUUCUUUUUCUAAAAUGUCAACUUUUAUUUUAGAUACGGGGGUACAUGUGCAGGCUUGUUACAUGGGUAUAUUGCACCCAGGUAGUGAGCAUAGCACCCAAUAGGUAGUUUUUCAACCCACACCCUCUCCUCCCUUCCCCCACUAGUAGUCUGCAGUGUCUAUUGUUCCAUUGUUUAUGUCCAUGUGUGCUCAAUGUUUAGCUCCCAUUUAUGCAUGAGAAUAUGUGGUAUUCAGUUUUUUGUUCCUGUGUUAAUUUGCUUAGGAUCAUGGCUGCCUGCUGCAUCCAUGUUGCGGCAAGGGACAUGAUUUUAUUCUUUCUUAGGGCUGCAUAGGAUUCCAUGGUGCAUAUGUACCACAUUAAAAAAAUCCACUUCACUGUUGAUGGGCACCCACAUUGAUUUCCUGUCUUUGUAUUGUGCAUAGUGCUGUAAUGAACUUAGGAGUGUAUGUGUCUUUUUGGUAGGACAAUUUAUAUUCUUUUGGGUAGAUACCUAAUAGUGGGAUUGCUGGCUUGAAUGGUAGUUCUAUUUUUAGUUCCUUAAGAAAUCUCCAAACUGCUUUCCACUGUGGCUGAACUAAUUUACAUUUCCACCAACGCAUAUAAGCAUUCCCUUUUUCCAC